rnacentral:tRNA from 1 species
GGUGGCGUGUCUGAGCGGCCGAAGGUGCCCGCCUCGAAAGCGGGUGUAGGGAGACCUACCGCGGGUUCAAAUCCCGCCGCCACCG